rnacentral:misc_RNA from 1 species
GAAGAAGAGAAGAAUCAGAGACAGGAAGAAGAGUUUUCGAGAGAGAGAAGAAGAGAAGAAUUGCUAAGAAAGAAAGACUCAUUUGUUUUAUUCAUUCCAUGAAUUGUAUGGUACAAUGAUAUAGAGUAUUUAUAUUCUUCUCAAUACAUUGACUAAUUUGACUCCCAAUCUGUUACAAGCAACAACCCCCCUAACAAAUACAACAAAC